rnacentral:rRNA from 1 species
UGCGCAGGCGGUUAUAUAAGACAGAUGUGAAAUCCCCGGGCUCAACCUGGGAACUGCAUUAGUGACUGUAUAGCUAGAGUGCGGCAGAGGGGGAUGGAAUUCCGCGUGUAGCAGUGAAAUGCGUAGAUAUGCGGAGGAACACCAAUGGCGAAGGCAAUCCCCUGGGCCUGCACUGACGCUCAUGCACGAAAGCGUGGGGAGCAAACAGGAUUAGAUACCCUGGUAGUCCACGCCCUAAACGAUGUCAACUGGUUGUUGGGAAUUCACUUUCUCAGUAACGAAGCUAACGCGUGAAGUUGACCGCCUGGGGAGUACGGCCGCAAGGUUAAA